AUGGCUCAGGAUGAACGCUAGCGACAGGCUUAACACAUGCAAGUCGAGGGGCAGCAUAAAAGUAGCAAUACUUGGUGGCGACCGGCGCACGGGUGAGUAACGCGUAUGCAACCUACCUAUCAGAGGGGAUAAAACCCGGCGAAAGUCGGACUAAUACCGCAUAAAACAGGGGCACCGCAUGGUGAUAUUUGUUAAAGAAAUUCGCUGAUAGAUGGGCAUGCGUUCCAUUAGGUAGUUGGUGAGGUAACGGCUCACCAAGCCGACGAUGGAUAGGGGAACUGAGAGGUUGGUCCCCCACACUGGUACUGAGACACGGACCAGACUCCUACGGGAGGCAGCAGUGAGGAAUAUUGGUCAAUGGGCGGGAGCCUGAACCAGCCAAGUCGCGUGAAGGAAGAAGGAUCUAUGGUUCGUAAACUUCUUUUGCAGGGGAAUAAAGUGCAGGACGUGUCCUGUUUUGUAUGUACCCUGAGAAUAAGGAUCGGCUAACUCCGUGCCAGCCGCCGC
rnacentral:rRNA from 1 species